rnacentral:rRNA from 1 species
AACGAACGCUGGCGGCGUGCUUAACACAUGCAAGUCGAACGUGAAAGACUUCGGUCGAGUAAAGUGGCGAACGGGUGAGUAACGCGUGGGUAAUCUGCCCUCGGGCGGGGGAUAACCUCUCGAAAGGGGGGCUAAUACCGCAUGAGACCACGGCUUCUUGGAGCUGUGGGAAAAGGUGGGUCGCAAGACCAGCCACCUGAGGAUGAGCCCGCGUACCAUUAGGUAGUUGGUGGGGUAAUGGCCUACCAAGCCUGAGAUGGUUAGCUGGUCUGAGAGGACGAUCAGCCACACUGGGACUGAGACACGGCCCAGACUCCUACGGGAGGCAGCAGUGGGGAAUAUUGCGCAAUGGGGGAAACCCUGACGCAGCAACGCCGCGUGUGUGAAGAAGGCCUUC